CAGUAGCCACGGGAAUACAGAGGGUGCAAGCGUUAAUCGGAAUUACUGGGCGUAAAGCGCGCGUAGGUGGUUCGCCAAGUUGGAUGUGAAAGCCCCGGGCUCAACCUGGGAACUGCAUCCAAAACUGGCAGGCUAGAGUAGGGCAGAGGGUGGUGGAAUUUCCUGUGUAGCGGUGAAAUGCGUAGAUAUAGGAAGGAACACCAGUGGCGAAGGCGACUACCUGGACUGAUACUGACACUGAGGUGCGAAAGCGUGGGGAGCAAACAGGAUUAGAUACCCCCGUAGUCCCUGUCUCUUAUAC
rnacentral:rRNA from 1 species